GUCGAACGCUGGCGGCGUGCCUAAUACAUGCAAGUUGAGCGCUGAAGGUUGGUACUUGUACCAACUGGAUGAGCAGCGAACGGGUGAGUAACGCGUGGGGAAUCUGCCUUUGAGCGGGGGACAACAUUUGGAAACGAAUGCUAAUACCGCAUAAAAACUUUAAACACAAGUUUUAAGUUUGAAAGAUGCAAUUGCAUCACUCAAAGAUGAUCCCGCGUUGUAUUAGCUAGUUGGUGAGGUAAAGGCUCACCAAGGCGAUGAUACAUAGCCGACCUGAGAGGGUGAUCGGCCACAUUGGGACUGAGACACGGCCCAAACUCCUACGGGAGGCAGCAGUAGGGAAUCUUCGGCAAUGGACGAAAGUCUGACCGAGCAACGCCGCGUGAGUGAAGAAGGUUUUCGGAUCGUAAAACUCUGUUGGUAGAGAAGAACGUUGGUGAGAGUGGAAAGCUCAUCAAGUGACGUUAACUACCCAGAAAGGGACGGCUAACUACGUG
rnacentral:rRNA from 1 species